rnacentral:rRNA from 1 species
CAGUCGCCGCGGUAAUACGAGGGGGGCAAGCGUUGUUCGGAAUUAUUGGGCGUAAAGGGCGCGUAGGCGGUUUGGCAAGUUUGGUGUGAAAUCUUCGGGCUCAACUCGAAGUCUGCAUCGAAAACUGCCGGGCUUGAGUAUGGGAGAGGUGAGUGGAAUUUCCGGUGUAGCGGUGAAAUGCGUAGAUAUCGGAAGGAACACCUGUGGCGAAAGCGGCUCACUGGACCAUAACUGACGCUGAGGCGCGAAAGCUAGGGGAGCAAACAGGAUUAGAUACCCCGGUAGUCCCUGUCUCUUAUAA